rnacentral:rRNA from 1 species
GGGAAUAUUGGGCAAUGGAGGAAACUCUGACCCAGCAACGCCGCGUGAAGGAUGAAGGUUUUCGGAUUGUAAACUUCUGUCGCGAGGGACGAAGAAUGACGGUACCUCGUAAGAAAGCCCCGGCAAACUACGUGCCAGCAGCCGCGGUAAUACGUAGGGGGCGAGCGUUGUCCGGAAUGACUGGGCGUAAAGGGAGUGUAGGCGGCUCUUUAAGUUAUAUGUGAAAUCCCGCGGCUUAACCGUGGAAGUGCAUAUAAAACUGGGGAGCUGGAGUACAGGAGAGGUGAGUGGAAUUCCUAGUGUAGCGGUGGAAUGCGUAGAUAUUAGGAAGAACACCGGUGGCGAAGGCGGCUCACUGGACUGUAACUGACGCUGAGGCUCGAAAGCGUGGGGAGCAAACAGG